UCCGGAAUCUUCCACUCUAAACUCUAAUUAACCUCUGGUUAUGUAAUCAAUGAAUGGAAAUAGGAUCAUUUUGGCACUACCCAUCCGUUCCCUCCCUUGAUUUCGAGCUGCGUGGACGUGUUUACAGAUAUAUUUAAAUAAAUUUGAAUUAGACUGCAAUUUCUCAACACUGAAAAAUACAGCAAAUUUAUGUCUAAUUGGAGGAGAUAGUGUGGAGAGCAAUGUUCGCCGUGUUAUGUCUCACACUUUGUCUCAGGAAGUUGCCCUAGAAUACAACUGGGUUGGAAAAGGCUCGAAAAACUUAGACUUAAAACAGUCAUAUUAGAUGCUGUAAGAGGAAGUAGACAGGGGUCUACUCAUAAUGAAAUCGAGAAGACAAUGAAGGAGUGGCUAAGAUAUGCCAAGGAUAGGGGAGGCGGGCGGAGGAAGAGACUGGCUAAAAAGUUGCAACAACAAAGAGAAGAAAAUGAAAAUGAUAUGUGAACAACAUUUAGAAAUAAAUUGUAGUAAUUAGAAUAUUUUAUGUUCUUUUAUUUUACGGUCUCUCUGAAUUCUAGGAGACAUGCUGUUUUUGGUCUUGUCAUCUGAGGGCCAGCGUUAGUAGUAAGAAACAAGUAAUUGGGCCAAUGGAGGGCCAACAAUAAGAGUAGGAAACAAAGUGAUAGGCCAACUGAGAGCCAACUUAGAUAGUAGAAAAUAAGGCAUUGGGCCAACGAAGGGCCAAUGUUUAUUAUAGGAAACCAGUCAGUGGGCCAACGGGGGGCCAACAAUAAGAAGGGAAAUCAGUUGUUGGGCCAACAGAGGGCCAACGAUAGGAAGGAAAACCAGUCAUUGGGCCAAUGGAGGGCCAACGAUAAGAGUAGGAAAGCAGUCGUUGGGCCAACCAUAUACCAACCGUUGGCCCAACGUUGCCCCAAUUAGCAAAUUGACAUUGGGCCAACGUUGGCAUUAUGUGUUGGGCCAACAAAGCAAAUGUAAUUGGCCCAACGUUGGGCCAACUACUGUCUGCUAUCUG